GCGGGUGUAGCUCAGUUGGUUAGAGCGCAUGCCUGUCACGCAUGAGGCCGCGGGUUCAAGUCCCGUCACUCGCGCCA
rnacentral:tRNA from 1 species